CCUACGGGAGGCAGCAGUGGGGAAUAUUGCACAAUGGGGGAAACCCUGAUGCAGCGACGCCGCGUGAGUGAAGAAGCAAUUCGGUAUGUAAAGCUCUAUCAGCAGGGAAGAAAAUGACGGUACCUGAGUAAGAAGCCCCGGCUAACUACGUGCCAGCAGCCGCGGUAAUACGUAGGGGGCAAGCGUUAUCCGGAUUUACUGGGUGUAAAGGGAGCGUAGACGGCAGUGCAAGUCUGGAGUGAAAGGCGGGGGCUCAACCCCCGGACUGCUCUGGAAACUGUACGGCUGGAGUGCAGGAGGGGUAGGUGGAAUUCCUAGUGUAGCGGUGAAAUGCGUAGAUAUUAGGAGGAACACCAGUGGCGAAGGCGGCUUACUGGACUGUAACUGACGUUGAGGCUCGAAAGCGUGGGGAGCAAACAGGAUUAGAUACCCGAGUAGUC
rnacentral:rRNA from 1 species